UCGGCCCGCCCCUCGGGCCGCGAGAGGCGCCGGGAUCGCGGGCGCCGGCUGAGCCAGCGGCUCUUGGGAGGCUGCGUCCGCGCGCCGGCGGGGCGAGGCGGCCGGGCCCUGCGCGUCAGGCCUGAGACCUGGGAGGAAGCUGGAGAAAAGAUGCCCUCUGAAUCUUUGUGUUUGGCUGCCCAGGCUCGCCUCGACUCCAAAUGGUUGAAAACAGAUAUACAGCUUGCAUUCACAAGAGAUGGGCUCUGUGGUCUGUGGAAUGAAAUGGUUAAAGAUGGAGAAAUUGUAUACACUGGAACAGAAUCAACCCAGAACGGAUAGCUCCCUCCUGGAAAAGCUUUUGUCUGGUCCUCUGAGCCCCAGUGAGAGUUUCCUGAGGUACCUCACCCUUCCACAAGACAACAGGCUUGCCAUUGAUCUGCAACAAACGGCGGUUGUUGUCAUGGCCCAUUUAGACCGUCUGGCUACACCCUGUAGAUGCCUCCUCUGUGUAGCUCUCCGACGUCUCAUAAGAGUCAUUUUUUACAGGUCAGAACUGUAGAAAUAAUGAGAAAGUGACAUUUGUACGCAUAGCUGAUUUGGAGAACCAUAAUAACGAUGGAGGCUUCUGGACUGUGAUUGACGGGAAAGUGUAUGAUAUAAAGGACUUCCAGACACAGUCGUUAACAGAAAAUAGUAUUCUUGCUCAGUUUGCAGGGGAAGACCCAGUGGUAGCUUUGGAAGCUGCUUUGCAGUUUGAAGACACCCGGGAAUCCAUGCACGCAUUUUGUGUUGGCCAGUAUUUGGAGCCUGACCAAGAAGGCGUCACCAUACCAGAUCUGGGGAGUCUCUCCUCACCUCUGAUAGACACAGAGAGGAAUCUGGGCCUGCUUCUCGGAUUACACGCUUCCUAUUUAGCAAUGAGCACACCGCUGUCUCCUGUCGAGAUUGAAUGUGCCAAAUGGCUUCAGUCAUCCAUCUUCUCUGGAGGCCUGCAGACCAGCCAGAUCCACUACAGCUACAACGAGGAGAAAGACGAGGACCACUGCAGCUCCCCAGGGGGCACACCUGCCAGCAAAUCUCGACUCUGCUCCCACAGACGGGCCCUGGGGGACCAUUCCCAGGCAUUUCUGCAAGCCAUUGCAGACAACAACAUUCAGGAUCACAACGUGAAGGACUUUUUGUGUCAAAUAGAAAGGUACUGUAGGCAGUGCCAUUUGACCACACCGAUCAUGUUUCCCCCCGAGCAUCCCGUGGAAGAGGUCGGUCGCUUGCUGUUAUGUUGCCUCUUAAAACAUGAAGAUUUAGGUCAUGUGGCAUUAUCUUUAGUUCAUGCAGGUGCACUUGAUAUUGAGCAAGUAAAGCACAGAACGUUGCCUAAGUCAGUGGUGGAUGUUUGUAGAGUUGUCUACCAAGCAAAAUGUUCGCUCAUUAAGACUCAUCAAGAACAGGGCCGUUCUUACAAGGAGGUCUGCGCUCCUGUCAUCAAACGUUUGAGAUUCCUCUUUAAUGAAUUGAGACCUGCUGUUUGUAAUGACCUCUCUAUAAUGUCUAAGUUUAAAUUGUUAAGUUCUUUGCCCCAUUGGAGGAGGAUAGCUCAGAAGAUAAUUCGAGAACCAAGGAAAAAGAGAGUUCCUAAGAAGCCAGAAUCUACGGAUGAUGAAGAAAAAAUUGGAAACGAAGAGAGUGAUUUAGAAGAAGCUUGCAUUUUGCCUCAUAGUCCAAUAAAUGUGGACAAGAGACCCAUUGCAAUUAAAUCACCCAAGGACAAAUGGCAGCCGCUGUUGAGUACUGUUACAGAUGUUCACAAAUACAAGUGGUUGAAGCAGAAUGUGCAGGGUCUUUAUCCGCAGUCUCCACUCCUCAGUACAAUUGCUGAAUUUGCCCUUAAAGAAGAGCCAGUGGAUGUGGAAAAGAGAAAGUGCCUACUAAAACAGUUGGAGAGAGCAGAGGUUCGCCUGGAAGGGAUAGAUACAAUUUUAAAAUUGUAUCUGGUGAGCAAGAAUUUCUUACUUCCAUCUGUGCCGUAUGCGAUGUUUUGUGGAUGGCAAAGACUUAUUCCUGAGGGAAUCGAUAUAGGGGAACCUCUUACUGAUUGUUUAAAGGAUGUUGAUUUGAUCCCGCCUUUUAAUCGGAUGCUGCUGGAAGUCACCUUUGGCAAGCUGUACGCUUGGGCUGUUCAGAACAUUCGAAAUGUUUUGGUGGAUGCCAGUGCCAAAUUUAAAGAGCUUGGUAUCCAGCCGGUUCCCCUGCAAACCAUCACCAAUGAGAACCCAUCGGGACCGAGCCUGGGGACCAUCCCGCAAGCCCACUUCCUCCUGGUGAUGCUCAGCAUGCUCACCCUGCAGCACAGCGCAAACAACCUUGACCUCCUGCUCAAUUCCGGCACGCUGGCCCUCGCUCAGACGGCACUGCGCCUGAUUGGCCCCAGUUGUGACAGCGUUGAGGAAGAUAUGAAUGCUUCUGCCCAAGGUGCUUCUGCCACAGUUUUGGAAGAAACAAGGAAGGAAACGGCUCCUGUGCAGCUCCCUGUUUCAGGGCCAGAACUGGCUGCCAUGAUGAAGAUUGGAACAAGGGUCAUGAGAGGUGUGGACUGGAAAUGGGGCGAUCAGGAUGGGCCUCCUCCAGGCCUAGGCCGAGUGAUUGGUGAGCUGGGAGAGGACGGGUGGAUAAGAGUCCAGUGGGACACAGGCAGCACCAACUCCUACAGGAUGGGGAAAGAAGGAAAAUACGACCUCAAGCUGGCAGAGCUGCCAGCCCCUGCACAGCCCUCAGCAGAGGAUUCGGACACAGAGGACGACUCUGAAGCCGAACAAACUGAAAGGAACAUUCACCCCACUGCAAUGAUGUUUACCAGCACUAUUAACUUACUGCAGACUCUUUGUCUGUCUGCUGGAGUUCAUGCUGAGAUCAUGCAGAGUGAAGCCACCAAGACUUUAUGCGGACUGCUGCGAAUGUUAGUGGAAAGCGGAACGACGGACAAGACAUCUUCUCCAAACAGGCUGGUGUACAGGGAGCAACACCGGAGCUGGUGCACGCUGGGGUUUGUGCAGAGCAUCGCUCUCACGCUGCAGGUGUGCGGCGCCCUCAGCUCCCCGCAGUGGAUCACGCUGCUCAUGAAGGUUGUGGAAGGGCACGCACCCUUCACUGCCACCUCGCUGCAGAGGCAGAUCUUAGCUGUGCAUUUGUUGCAAGCAGUCCUUCCGUCAUGGGACAAGACCGAAAGGGUGAGGGACAUGAAAUGCCUCAUGGAGAAGCUGUUUGACUUCUUGGGGAGCUUGCUCACUAUGUGCUCCUCUGACGUGCCGUUACUCAGAGAGUCCACGCUGAGGCGGCGCAGGGUGUGCCCGCAGGCCUCGCUGACUGCCACCCACAGCAGCACACUGGCGGAGGAGGUGGUGGCACUGCUGCACACGCUGCACUCCCUGACUCGGUGGAAUGGGCUCAUCAACAAGUACAUCAACUCCCAGCUCCGCUCCAUCACCCACAGCUUUGCGGGAAGGCCUUCCAAAGGGGCCCAGUUAGAUGACUACUUCCCUGAUUCCGAGAACCCUGAAGUGGGGGGCCUCAUGGCGGUCCUGGCUGUGGUUGGAGGCAUCGAUGGUCGCCUGUGCCUGGGCGGCCAAGUUGUGCACGAUGACUUUGGAGAAGUCACCAUGACUCGCAUCACCCUGAAGGGCAAAAUCACCGUGCAGUUCUCUGACAUGCGGACGUGUCGCGUUUGCCCAUUGAAUCAGCUGAAACCACUCCCUGCCGUGGCCUUUAAUGUGAACAACCUGCCCUUCACAGAGCCCAUGCUGUCUGUCUGGGCUCAGUUGGUGAACCUCGCUGGAAGCAAGUUAGAAAAGCACAAAAUAAAGAAAUCGACUAAACAGGCCUUUGCAGGACAAGUGGACCUGGACCUGCUGCGGCGCCAGCAGUUGAAGCUAUACAUCCUGAAAGCAGGUCGGGCGCUGUUCUCCCACCAGGAUAAACUGCGGCAGAUCCUGUCUCAGCCAGCUGUUCAGGAGACUGGAACUGUUCACACAGAACCCAUGGAUACGGAGGGCUAGCUGUAUAUGUUUAUUGCUGUGGAAACAUGAAAACAAUGAUGGAGCAGUGGUAUCACCUGACCUUGGGGACAUGUCUCCUGAAGGGCCGCAGCCCCCCAUGAUCCUCUUGCAGCAGCUGCUGGCCUCGGCCACCCAGCCGUCUCCUGUGAAGGCCAUAUUUGAUAAACAGGAACUUGAGACUGCUGCACUGGCCGUUGUGGAGUCCACUCACCCUUCGAGCCCAGGAUUUGAAGACUGCAGCUCCAGUGAGGCCACCACGCCUGUCAACGUGCAGCACAUCCGCCCUGCCAGAGUGAAGAGGCGCAAGCAGUCACCCGUUCCCGCUCUGCCGAUCGUGGUGCAGCUCAUGGAGAUGGGAUUUCCCAGAAGGAACAUCGAGUUUGCCCUGAAGUCUCUCACUGGUGCUUCCGGGAAUGCGUCCGGCUUGCCUGGUGUGGAAGCCUUGGUCGGGUGGCUGCUGGACCACUCCGACAUACAGGUCACGGAGCUCUCAGAUGCAGACACGGUGUCCGACGAGUAUUCUGACGAGGAGGUGGUGGAGGACAUGGAUGAUGCCGCCUACUCCAUGUCUACUGGUGCUGUUGUGACGGAGAGCCAGACGUACAAAAACCGAGCUGGUUUCUUGGGUAAUGAUGAUUAUGCUGUAUAUGUGAGAGAGAAUAUUCAGGUGGGAAUGAUGGUUAGAUGCUGCCGAACAUACGAAGAAGUGUGCGAAGGUGAUGUGAUGUUGGCAAAGUCAUCAAGCUGGACAGAGAUGGAUUGCAUGAUCUCAAUGUGCAGUGUGACUGGCAGCAGAAAGGGGGCAUCUACUGGUUUAGGUACAUUCAUGUGGAACUUAUAGGCUAUCCUCCACCAAGAAGUUCUUCUCACAUCAAGAUUGGUGAUAAAGUGCGGGUCAAAGCCUCUGUCACCACACCAAAAUACAAAUGGGGAUCUGUGACUCAUCAGAGUGUGGGGGUUGUGAAAGGUGUGAUGGAUGUCAGAUGUUUCCUAUCAAUGGAUCCAGAUUCAAAUGCAGAAACUGUGAUGACUUUGAUUUUUGUGAAACGUGUUUCAAGACCAAAAAACACAAUACCAGGCAUACAUUUGGCAGAAUAAAUGAACCAGGCUUCAGCAGAAGAAACACUUCCUAUAAAUCUCGCCCAAACAGGAAAGGAGAAGCAUUAGGGUGUCCGACUACGUGGGUUUCAUAGCUGUGGAAAAGCCAAAGGGGAGACUCCUGAAGAAAGGCGGUGAAGACUGUGAAGAGCGGGUCAGGAAGAUGAGCACAGCACUGCUACUCCUGUGGGCACAGGGACAGCAUGUCUCCAGCCAGCGCCACCUUGUUUAAUACAUGGGAACUCACUGAAAUUCAUUCUGUAUUUUGCCCGCAAAGUUUUAAAGCUUUCAUCCACAGUCAGGAAUUAAACUUAUACCAAUGAGAGCCUCACACAUUCAAGGAUGUACUAAGCACUACAGGCCUCACAGAAACAGAGAUCCCAUCUUGGAGUUUUCAGUACCACAUGGGAGAUAAAGGGUUUUGAACAUGAAAUGACAAAAACAACAGCAAGAAGAAAAUUCUUGUCCUUUUUCAUUACUAUCAGACUCAAAUAAAUGUCUUGGCUCUUACAUUACAUUCAUUCUUCAACCAUUGUGGUCUGGCUUCCACUUCCUUCACUUCACCAACAUGGCUCUGCCAAAGGAAGCCCGUGAUCUCUAGGCCAUCACUUUAAUUGAUCUUUCUACAACAUUUAUCCUGGUUGUUAAGCCCUCCUUACAACAUUCUUCUCUCUUUGUUUUUAUAGCUCCAUCUCUCCUGCUUCUUUAACUUGAUAAUGCAUACUUGAUUUUUCUAUUUGUUAUUUCAUAAACCAAUUAAUACACAGAUAAAAUGACUGUAUAUCAAACCAUGUUUGUAUAGAAAAAAUGGAUUUUGGAUGCCUCUCAUAUGUAAUUAGUUCUAUUAAACAUAUUAAUUGUAUUGUUUAAUUUGUCAGGUUUUUGACAGAAUUUUGUUUACAAGUAAUAAAAAUUUUAUCUCCAAUUUUCAAUAAUUACACCCAUU